GCUACGGUGACUUAAAUGGUUAGAGCGUCCGCCUUAGAUGAGGGAGGUAACGGGUUCAAACCACGACCGAAUCA